rnacentral:rRNA from 1 species
UACAGAGGUGGCAAGCGUUGUUCGGAAUUACUGGGCGUAAAGGGCGCGUAGGCGGCCAUCUAAGUCAGACGUGAAAUCCCCCGGCUCAACCUGGGAACUGCGUCUGAUACUGGGAGGCUAGAGUUUGGGAGAGGGAUGUAGAAUUCCAGGUGUAGCGGUGAAAUGCGUAGAUAUCUGGAGGAAUACCGGUGGCGAAGGCGGCAUCCUGGACCAAUACUGACGCUGAGGCGCGAAAGCUAGGGGAGCAAACGGG